rnacentral:rRNA from 1 species
ACAGAGGGGGCAAGCGUUGUUCGGAAUUACUGGGCGUAAAGGGCGCGUAGGCGGCCUCUUAAGUCGAACGUGAAAUCCCCGGGCUCAACCCGGGAACUGCGUCCGAUACUGGGGGGCUUGAAUCCGGGAGAGGGAUGUGGAAUUCCAGGUGUAGCGGUGAAAUGCGUAGAUAUCUGGAGGAAUACCGGAGGCGAAGGCGGCUCACUGGGACCUUUCUGACGCUGAGGAACGAAAGCUAGGGGAGCAAACGGGA